ensembl:lncRNA
CCUCACUACAAGGAAGACACUGAGGUUCUAGAGCUUGUCCAGAGAAGAGAAAUGAAGCUGUGAUGGGUCUGGAGCACAAGUCUUACGGAGAGCGGCUGGAAGAACUGGGAUUGUUCAGUCUGAAGAAGAAAAAGCUCAGAGGAGACCUUCUUGCUCUCUUCAACAACCUGAAAGGAGGUUGUGCUGUUCCAGAUGGCCAGGAGUCUGAAGAGUGGGGACUGGAGGAAACCAGACUUACAGCACAAGCCCUUGGACGCACUGACCCCUGUCAAUCCUGGUAGGGUGUUUCCUAUGUUCUUUGGAGUUCCUUCUUCCUCUGUCUCUAAUAGAUUUGAUCUAAUAGAAUCAUACCAGAAUUGUCUAUUUUGUGAUGCACUGUGUAGGUACCAUAUAAAUUUCCUUCAGCUUUUUCCCCAGGAAAGAGAAUAUUCAUCCAGGAUAUGGGGAAAAAAAUGUUAUUAUCAUAAACAGUUUUUAUACAACAUGAAUGAAGUGGUUUUGCAGCAUGGACUGGCAUACUCUAUACUUGGUGGGUGCUUAAAGAUGGAAUACAUGGUGUUGAAUUGCAACAGGGAGGAGAGGGGACUGAACUUCUGUACAUCACGUCGCACAUGACUGCACUGAAUUUAUCAGUAGGGAAGAGGAAAGACACUUCCUCUGAUGGCAUCAUACAGGCAUGACCUCUUGCUCUAUUUAGAAUAAAAAUGAGCAUAGACACAUACUUUCAGGAGUUUUGUCCAAGGAGUCCCCAGAGAAGGGCACUUUUCUCAGGCAGAGGACAAUCUGGCUCAGCAGGAUGUUUGUCAGUCUCCUCUCUAUGGAUUCCUGCCUUUUGCACAGAGGUCAUCACCAUUCAAAACGAGUGCCCAUUUUAGGAGCUCAACAUCUAAUAUUCACCAGGGAUGUAGCCCUUAGUCCGAUCACUUGAUAGCAACAGCUAACAGCAAAUCCUGCGUUAAUCCCAAUAACACACUGAGUGGGGCAAUUUUCAGAUUCCUUGCUUUGUUCUAGGCAAAAGGAUAAAUUAUUUUGAAUUGCCCUGUGUUGAAGGACUUGGGGGAAUUGGUGGAUGAAAAGUUCGACAUGAGCCAGCAGCUCAUGCCCCUGAAAAAAGGGGCAAACAAAAGGGCAAGGGGGGUAAUU